UCAAGUCAAUUUAUCCACAAUUUGGUUCAGACUCAUCACAUUCUUACGAAAAAUAAAUUCAACAUGAAGACAGCUCUACUUGUCGCUGUUGUCGUGCUUGUGAUCCUGGACUUGACGGCUGCUAGACGUCCACACCACUGUAAACUUCCGGUUGAUCACGGACAUCGUUGCGCUCAUGGUGCUCGUGAACGGGUUUAUUUUGAUAUGAAAACGAAAUCAUGCAAAUCGUUCAAUUAUCGUGGAUGUGGUGGUAACAAAAACAGGUUCAAGUCUCACCACGACUGUCGUAAAGAGUGCGCUUAGAUGAGGAAGUAGUCGAAUUAUAAUGUUGCCAGAAUGCAGUAUGACGCAGACAAUCUGUUUGAUAUCAACGUUUCAACUUAUGCUGAAUUUAUGAUAGGAUUAUUUAAAGACUACGCAUUACACUUCAUUAUUAUGUUUGGGUUAUAAUGUUUUCACAAGAGAUCAGAUAUAUACAAUAAAAUAUUUAAGUAAACAUUAA